rnacentral:tRNA from 1 species
GCGGAUGUGCUGGAACUGGCAGACAGGCACGUUUGAGGGGCGUGUGUCCAAGACAUAUGGGUUCAAGUCCCAUCAUCCGCACCA